rnacentral:tRNA from 1 species
GCCUCGGUAGCCAAGCGGUAAGGCGGCGGACUCUUAAUCCGGCAACCGUGGGUUCGAAUCCCUCCCGGGGCA